UACGUAGGGUGCGAGCGUUAAUCGGAAUUACUGGGCGUAAAGCGUACGCAGGCGGCUAUGCAAGACAGGUGUGAAAUCCCCGGGCUUAACCUGGGAACUGCAUUUGUGACUGCAUAGCUAGAGUUUGUCAGAGGGGGGUGGAAUUCCACGUGUAGCAGUGAAAUGCGUAGAGAUGUGGAGGAACACCGAUGGCGAAGGCAGCCCCCUGGGACCUGACUGACGCUCAUGUACGAAAGCGUGGGGAGCAAACAGG
rnacentral:rRNA from 1 species